rnacentral:rRNA from 1 species
UCCACGCCGUAAACGAUGAUUACUCGUUGGUUGGCGAUAUAUUGUCAGCGACUGAGCGAAAGCAUUAAGUAAUCCACCUGGGGAGUACGUCGGCAACGACGAAACUCAAAGGAAUUGACGGGGGCCCGCACAAGCGGAGGAACAUGUGGUUUAAUUCGAUGAUACGCGAGGAACCUUACCUGGGCUUAAA